ACGAAUAUUUUUAUACUACUGAAAUGCUAAUCAGUUUCUUCAACUAAAUUAAUAAGUCAAAACCAUGUAUAGGUUUGUGAAAAGCCUUUAAACAAUCAUGUUUGCCCUGCAGACAAACGUAUGAAGCAAAAAUACAUUUUUUAAAUUUGUUUAUGUUGUAGAAACUAAAUGUAAAAUAACAAUGCUAACUCUGUGACCUAUUUUCAACAUGGCGGGUGCUAGGAUUAUCACCGGAGCAACUGUGGAGAAAAGCACAUCGCCUUUACAGUGCUAAAACAUAAUGCUUUCUUAAUUUUAUGAAGAACACGCACUAGAGAUGCUUAGGUACAUCUCAGAAGGAUUGGUGUGCACCAGAAUAUCACAAGAAAUGGCCAUAGCAGCUGGUCGUCCUUAGAAUGUGCGUUUUUUUUUUUUGUUGUUGUUGUUGAACCACGUCUUCAGACUGUUGUCAGGCUUGGGUUCCUCAAUAUAUCCAGCUCAUCGAUUUAGCUCUGGAUGUUUGUUGUAAGGGCUUUGUUACAUGUGUUAUCAUAACACAAACAGUUAAGAGACAGCUUGUAGACAGCUUCAAUAGAAAUUUCUUACCCAGAAUCAAAGAUUUUACAUCCUAGGCCUGGAUGUGAACCUUGACCUGGACAAUCGUACAGAUAAUAAUAGAAGAGUCACCUGAAAUUGCACAGGCAAAUUCAUCAGAUUCAGAUGUGAGCACCAACUCUGUCUUUCUAUUAUGAAAUUCUGGAUUUGAAAUUGGAUUUCCAUUGGAUUGACAAAUAUUGACAAUUGACAGUUCAGUCACACUAAACUAUAGUGGCAUGUUGCUUCAAGUUACCACACUUGUUCUAAGAUUGCUGAAUUAUCAUUACUGUCUAAGGAGACCCUAGAUCUCUCAACCAGAAGAAGAAGCUUGGGGAUCAAUCAGUAAUAAGAUUAAAAUCUGUGGAACACUACCCAUCACUGUUGUGUUCAGUAUAUGGAAAA